CCAUUCAACUUCUGAAUAAAAUCAUGGUCAUCUUCUAAAGAGCAUGUUCACACCCAGUAAAGCUGGCAAAUUGAUGUCCCAACAUGAGGCAGACAACUAGUGUCUUAGUUGUCUUAUAAAAAUUGCUUCCUAACAUUCUCUGGAACAGAGAAAGAAUCUGACUUCAAAAAGUAGAAGAAAAUUAGCACCCACUCUAAAAAUGCAUAUGAAAAUAUUGUACGCCAAACUUGCUACCGAAGCAAAUAUAAAUAAAGAUUCAUACACAGAGCCUUCAUCAAGCCAUAUUCCUUUUUAUCGUGACCACUCUCAGCUGGCAGGUCUGACUACUCACUGGUGGCCAGCACAUGAAACAUCUCUUUGCCAUGACACUUGCUGCCCUAAGGAGCCCCUCAUUCCAGCAGAGGAGGAAGCUUUCCAACACUUCUGCAUCUGAAAAAGAAUUCUUUGUAUGGGCCUGGUUGUUGAUGAGAGCUCUGCUUGUGAUUGGACUAAAACACACACAAAAACUGCU